CAUGUGGUUUAAUUCGAAGCAACGCGAAGAACCUUACCAGGUUUUGACAUCCCCUGACAACCCGAGAGAUCGGGCGUUCCCCUUCGGGGGGACAGGGUGACAGGUGGUGCAUGGUUGUCGUCAGCUCGUGUCGUGAGAUGUUGGGUUAAGUCCCGCAACGAGCGCAACCCCUAUUGUUAGUUGCCAUCAUUCAGUUGGGCACUCUAGCGAGACUGCCGGUAAUAACCGGAGGAAGUGGGGAUGACGUCAAAUCAUCAUGCCCCUUAUGACCUGGGCUACACACGUGCUACAAUGGUUGGUACAACGAGUUGCGAGUCGGUGACGGCGAGCUAAUCUCUUAAAGCCAAUCUCAGUUCGGAUUGUAGGCUGCAACUCGCCUACAUGAAGUCGGAAUCGCUAGUAAUCGCGGAUCAGCACGCCGCGGUGAAUACGUUCCCGGGCCUU
rnacentral:rRNA from 1 species